CAAGGUCAUAGAUGUGGCUCUGGAAAACAGAUCAAAUUUAUUUCAUCAUAAUAAUCAUCUUUAAGCUUUGGUCAAAGGAGAUCCACAGCAUGCACAGUGGGAAAGGAAUCUGGCCUCGUGUGUGAGGCUGCGACCCUGCCAUCUCCAGGGGAGGGAGCUGAGAUGCACAGAGAACAACGAGCCUGACGCACACUCCACACAGCCCCUGAAUCUCUGACCAACCCAAGCCAGCUGAUGACAGUCUUGCCCCUGCCCAGGCCCUGUGGGAGGAAGAGGCUGACAGAUCAAAAGGGCUACCAGCUGGCUACGGUGCCUCACAACUGUGGGUCUGGGGCAGUGACUAAAGAGAUGCAUGACUCAAACUUCAGCUGGAGGCAGGGAGACACUGCAGCAACUCAUUAAGACAGAGUGCAGCAGAACCGGGCCCAGCCAAGGAGCUGAGAACAAGGAUGAAAAAGAGAAAUGUCUUUCUCUUUGAGGAUCUGCAUUUCUGCAGGUCAACACAGGACAAGGGCAGGUGACUUCAGACUCACCAGUAGUACUUAUGGCUGGGUAAAGACAUGAAGGUUGAGCACAACUGAUGAAUAAACUGAGGAGGAGCAAGGCAGAG